GACGAACGCUUGCGGCGUGCUUAACACAUGCAAGUCGAACGGAAAGGCCCUGCUUUUGUGGGGUGCUCGAGUGGCGAACGGGUGAGUAACACGUGAGUAACCUGCCCUUGACUUUGGGAUGACUUCAGGAAACUGGGGCUAAUACCGGAUAGGAGCUCCUGCUGCAUGGUGGGGGUUGGAAAGUUUCGGCGGUUGGGGAUGGACUCGCGGCUUAUCAGCUUGUUGGUGGGGUAGUGGCUUACCAAGGCUUUGACGGGUAGCCGGCCUGAGAGGGUGACCGGCCACAUUGGGACUGAGAUACGGCCCAGACUCCUACGGGAGGCAGCAGUGGGGAAUAUUGCACAAUGGGCGGAAGCCUGAUGCAGCAACGCCGCGUGCGGGAUGACGGCCUUCGGGUUGUAAACCGCUUUCGCCUGUGACGAAGCGUGAGUGACGGUAAUGGGUAAAGAAGCACCGGCUAACUACGUGCCAGCAGCCGCGGUGAUACGUAGGGUGCGAGCGUUGUCCGGAUUUAUUGGGCGUAAAGGGCUCGUAGGUGGUUGAUCGCGUCGGAAGUGUAAUCUUGGGGCUUAACCCUGAGCGUGCUUUCGAUACGGGUUGACUUGAGGAAGGUAGGGGAGAAUGGAAUUCCUGGUGGAGCGGUGGAAUGCGCAGAUAUCAGGAGGAACACCAGUGGCGAAGGCGGUUCUCUGGGCCUUUCCUGACGCUGAGGAGCGAAAGCGUGGGGAGCGAACAGGCUUAGAUACCCUGGUAGUCCACGCUGUAAACGGUGGGUACUAGGUGUGGGGUCCAUUCCACGGGUUCCGUGCCGUAGCUAACGCUUUAAGUACCCCGCCUGGGGAGUACGGCCGCAAGGCUAAAACUCAAAGGAAUUGACGGGGCCCCGCACAAGCGGCGGAGCAUGCGGAUUAAUUCGAUGCAACGCGUAGAACCUUACCUGGGUUUGACAUGGAUCGGGAGUGCUCAGAGAUGGGUGUGCCUCUUUUGGGGUCGGUUCACAGGUGGUGCAUGGCUGUCGUCAGCUCGUGUCGUGAGAUGUUGGGUUAAGUCCCGCAACGAGCGCAACCCUUGUUCACUGUUGCCAGCACGUUAUGGUGGGGACUCAGUGGAGACCGCCGGGGUCAACUCGGAGGAAGGUGGGGAUGACGUCAAGUCAUCAUGCCCCUUAUGUCCAGGGCUUCACGCAUGCUACAAUGGCUGGUACAGAGAGUGGCGAGCCUGUGAGGGUGAGCGAAUCUCGGAAAGCCGGUCUCAGUUCGGAUUGGGGUCUGCAACUCGACCUCAUGAAGUCGGAGUCGCUAGUAAUCGCAGAUCAGCAACGCUGCGGUGAAUACGUUCCCGGG
rnacentral:rRNA from 1 species